GACAGAUGUAAAGCCUGAAGUGUCCCGGUUUCAUUAAAAAGAAGAAUUAUGUCGUUAUCAUUUUCCGUUACAGAAAUAGAUGUGAAAGAGUACGACAGUACCUCUGGCUUCACUAGCGAUGACACUGACUUCAGAGGGUGAAGCUCUGCUCUAGUGACUGACAGACUUAUAAACAAGCAGUGCGCAACACGUUACGUUUCACUUUGAUGACGCGGGCUACGGGCUCUGUUCAGCUGGAUUCACGCCACAGCACCUUACACAGGGGCCACAAGAAGACGAGCAGUGAUGGGGCCAAGCAAGAUUUUUUUGGAGUUUUUCGGAGGUCAACAACUGUGUUUCGCUGAUUUGGCCUGAAUUUUGUUCUUCCUUUUUGUUUUAUGGAAAAGGUUAAAAAAAUAAAACAUAGUUCUCUACCGUUCA